AGAGUUUGAUCCUGGCUCAGGAUGAACGCUGGCGGCGUGCCUAAUGCAUGCAAGUCGAGCGACGCAUGCCGGAGGGGUAACCCACUGGUAUGACGGAGCGGCGAACGGGUGAGUAACACUUGAGCAACCUGCCCCACAGACCGGGAUAGCCCAGGGAAACCUAGAUUAAUACCGGAUACCCUCACGGAAUCGCAUGAUUCGGUGAGGAAAUGCCUUUGUGCUGUGGGAUGGGCUCGAGGCUUAUCAGCUAGUUGGUGGGGUAACGGCCUACCAAGGCAUCGACGAGUAGCUGGUCUGAGAGGACGAUCAGCCACACUGGGACUGAGACACGGCCCAGACUCCUACGGGAGGCAGCAGCAGGGAAUCUUGCGCAAUGGGCGAAAGCCUGACGCAGCAACGCCGCGUGGGGGAUGAAGGCCUUCGGGUUGUAAACCCCUUUCAGGAGGGAAGAAAUUGACGGUACCUCCAAAAGAAGCACCGGCCAACUACGUGCCAGCAGCCGCGGUAAU
rnacentral:rRNA from 1 species